CAAAUGGAUGAACUAAGCCAUGCGAGUCAUUGUAGCAAUACAAGGCAUACGGCUCAGUAACGCGUAGUCAACCUAACCUAUGGACGGGAAUAACCUCGGGAAACUGAGAAUAAUGCCCGAUAGAACAUUAUGCCUGGAAUGGUUUAUGUUCCAAAUGAUUUAUUGCCGUAGGAUGGGACUGCGGCCUAUCAGUUUGUUGGUGAGGUAAUGGCCCACCAAGACUAUUACAGGUACGGGCUCUGAGAGGAGUAGCCCGGAGAUGGGUACUGAGACACGGACCCAGGCCCUAUGGGGCGCAGCAGGCGAGAAAACUUUGCAAUGUGCGAAAGCACGACAAGGUUAAUCCGAGUGGUUUCUGCUAAAGAAACCUUUUGUCAGUCCUAGAAACACUGAUGAAUAAGGGGUGGGCAAGUUCUGGUGUCAGCCGCCGCGGUAAAACCAGCACCUCAAGUGGUCAGGAUGAUUAUUGGGCCUAAAGCAUCCGUAGCCGGCUCUGUAAGUUUUCGGUUAAAUCUGUACGCUCAACGUACAGGCUGCCGGGAAUACUGCAGAGCUAGGGAGUGGGAGAGGUAGACGGUACUCGGUAGGAAGGGGUAAAAUCCUUUGAUCUAUUGAUGACCACCUGUGGCGAAGGCGGUCUACCAGAACACGUCCGACGGUGAGGGAUGAAAGCUGGGGGAGCAAACCGGAUUAGAUACCCGGGUAGUCCCAGCUGUAAACUAUGCAAACUCAGUGAUGCAUUGGCUUGUGGCCAAUGCAGUGCUGCAGGGAAGCCGUUAAGUUUGCCGCCUGGGAAGUACGUACGCAAGUAUGAAACUUAAAGGAAUUGGCGGGGGAGCACCACAAGGGGUGAAGCCUGCGGUUCAAUUGGAUUCAACGCCGGG
rnacentral:rRNA from 1 species